AUCAGUGCAGACUCAGGUCGCCCUGCCCUCAGACCUGGGCUGCCCGCACUGCGCGGCCGGUCCCAGCCGGCGUGACCCCCACCUGAACCCCUGCGUGCCCAUGCGUGACCCUAUGCCCCACUCGCGUGCCCCAGCGUGACCCCACGUAGUGCACGUGUCUUCUGUCCGUGGCGUUGGCUCCUGGCGAGCGACGACUCUGCUGCGCCCUCUCAGGAGGCGCGAGAGAGGAGCUUCCCGGCUUCGGGGGCGCCCAGUGCUGAGGCCGCCCGUGUCCCUCAGGAGCCCGGGUGGCGCCGCGGGACCGACACGGGAGGGAACGGGCUAAAGAGGUUUGUGCUGUGAGUGCGCAUGUCGCGGGGAGCUGCCCCUGAACCCCAGCCUGCGUCCCCCCCGGGCUGACGGCUUCUCCUGUGGAGACGCGAUGGACGGAGGGGCUCGGCCUGAACUUGGGGUCCGACCCAACAGAGAUCAGCCAGAAGAACCUUGAUGGUAGAAGUUACAAUAAUUUCUCCCAACAGUUGAUGCUGUGAGUCAAGUCACAGGUUGGAAGCCGGCACUUCCCCUCGGGCUGCUGGAGAUGAGAUCCUGGGGCAUCUGACACUGGCCGGCCUAAAGUGGGGAUUCUUACCAUUGUCUCUCAUCCUGUUAUAGGUCCUGAGAGCUUGGCCUUAUGAUCAGUGAGAAUAUUUCGUGUCUGACCUCUCCCAUCCAGAGGGUGCCCUUGUCAUGGUGCGCCUUGCUUGGUAUCCGGCCGGGAGAAGCUCUCAAGGGAGUUCUGUGUCUGACCCCAGCUUGCAGAGAUGGGCUCUUAUUUCUGCCAGCUGGAGGAAGCUCAUGCAUCUAUUGUUUUGGCAGACAGCUGGGAGACCUCACUGGCUGGGACCUCCUUGCUCCAACUGCUUCAGCUAAGUGAUCAUGGACUUCUGACCACAGGCAGCAGAGGAGGCAAGCAUGUGACCAAAUCUCUCUGCUCUCUUACCGGCCAGUUUUAAUGGAAGUUACUGAGAAUCUUCGUGUCUCUACUACAUUUAGUACAGCAUGACCAGAGGUGGAGUCAGCACUCGUGACCCCUGUGGUUCUCCAAAAUGAAAGGGAAAUACCUGUUCUAGGGAAAACCCUGAGCAUAAUCCCCUCAGUGUUAGAUAGGAAGACACUAAGCAGGAGCCUGUUUACCACCCUCACACCCCCAUGUCCUACUGUUUUCUAACAUAUCACCCUGCCCCCUCUACCUCAACUACAAGUCGCACCCUAUUGUACUUCACUGUCUGUUUAAUUGUAUGCAUUUGUAAAUUCUGUGUCCGUGUUUUGGUUUGCUGUUCUUCUGUUAAUCUGAUUCUGUUUUCUUGAUUAUUAGCCAAGCUGGAAGAAAUUAUAAGGUGGGAAAAAAGGAAUUUUUUAUAGCCACUAGAGGUUCAGUAAGCCAGUCAAAAGAAUUAAAGACUAGGACACUUCCAGUUUCUGAAAAACACUGCAGCUAAGAUAUCAUGAAGGUCUGCCAGCAGAGGUAACGAUUAUUUCUGUUUACAUUGUAAGCCUUCCUGGUCUAGUAUUAACAUUUCAUAAAAUUUAGAAGUGCUGCAGAUCCUUUCCUCACUUACGCAUUUCUAUUGGCAUGACAAAUAUUUGUGAAGUUAGCAUCUCAAGCUUAGGACGGGUGGGUUUUCUUUACUGUAAAUUUCCUGUUAUGGAUGAUGAUUUUUUGGUGUGUGUUUUUUGCAUGUCGUCUGUCCUAACAAGGAACUACUAGGGGGACAGAACACAGGCACAGGCUCCCAUAAGACGAUCAUUCGAGCCGGCUCCAAAGGCUGGGGAGUUAAGCGGCUCUCUCCCGACCCGUCUGCAGAGACAAACUUUGCUGUGGGCCCCCGUCUAAAAACCGCAUGAGGUUGUUCCUUUGUUCUCGUUCUGUGUCCUGGGACCUUGGCUUUGUGACCCGGGAAGCUGAUCCUCUCAGGUCUCUGCCAUCGUCCAGGUGCACUUACCGCGGUGCACCUGGUGGCCAGUGGGAGAAAUGGGUUCCCAGUGUGCCUCUCCCUGGCUGUGCCAGCUCCCCGGGGAGUGUGUUAUGAAGGUCCCGGGCCCCAAGGGGCCUUUGUCGUCUCAACUUUUGUCACCCUUUGGUUUUGGACUCAUCCCAGUACAGUCCCGCUGGCCCUGGGGUCACGAAUUAGUGGUUUCAUGGCUGAAGCGCCUCACGUUUUGUGGGAGACUAGAGACACCUUAUGUACCCCACCAUCCUGACCGCCUAGCUGACGAAGGUCUGUGCUGUCUGUCUCUGGCUGUCUUUGGGAGUGACCCUUUGGCUCUGGGAGGGCAGCUUCCCCUGCACUCUGUGUGUGGAGGCCUCUGACUUCCUUUCCUGAGUUGUAAGGAGACUUGCGCAUGUGUCACUUUUUAGACCUUGCCGUCCUGUCCAGGAGGUGGAUCCUUGGAAUGGGAAACACUUCUAAGUUGGAAGCUGUUGUAGUGCUCUGAUGACAAUGAUCAGUUUUAUUGAUAAAACUUUCUAUGUGUUCUCUGCAAUUAUUACUUAUUCUCUUACUUUUUGUUGUCUGUGUGAAUCCAGUUGGUGUCUGUGUGGUAGCAUGGCUUCUAGCUCUGGAUGGUGUUACUAGUUUGUUAUAUUUGAUUGUCUUGAAUAAAUUCAUUAAUUACGUAAAUUAAGAAGCAAAAUAGAAAUUAACAGAUGUUUUUCAGAAUCAUACGAUCUUUGAAACUUUUAUGUUAAAGCUGGUUUAAGUUUCGUUUUAUUAUAUUGUCAUGUUUUUGAAAGUUAUUAACAUAAAAUAUAGUUGUUAUUGCUGGAUCUACAAUAAGUUUAUGUUUUGUGUUAAUAAUGUGUCAAGAAAAUAGCUUGGGCAAUAAUUGAC